rnacentral:misc_RNA from 1 species
AAGGCAUGAAGGGGUCUGCAGAGCAG